rnacentral:rRNA from 1 species
UACAUAGGGAGCAAGCGUUAUCCGGAAUUAUUGGGUGUAAAGGGUGCGUAGACGGAGGAACAAGUUAGUUGUGAAAUCCCUCGGCUUAACUGAGGAACUGCAACCAAAACUAUUAUUCUUGAGUGCAGGAGAGGAAAGUGGAAUUCCUAGUGUAGCGGUGAAAUGCGUAGAUAUUAGGAAGAACACCGGUGGCGAAGGCGACUUUCUGGACUGUAACUGACGUUGAGGCACGAAAGUGUGGGGAGCAAACAGG